rnacentral:rRNA from 1 species
CCCUUAGAUCAUUUGGGCUGCACGCGCGCUACACUGACCCUAACAAUGAACAACUGUCUGGCCUGAGAUGGCUGGGUAGCCUUUUCAACCCAUGUCAUGAUUGGGCUAGAUUUUUGUAAGUCUUGAUCUCUAACGAGGAAUCCCUAGUAUGCGUGAAUCAUCAAUCCAUGCAGAUUAUGUCCCUGCCCUUUGUACACACCGCCCGUCGCUCCUACUGAUUGGGUGAUCCGGUGAGCUGUUCGGCCAUAGCAAUGUUUCUUGAGCAGGACAAUGAAUGUUUCGCAAACCUUGCCAUUUAGAGGAAGGAGAAGUCGUAACA